GACAGAGGGUGCUAGCGUUGUUCGGAAUUACUGGGCGUAAAGGGCGCGUAGGCGGUCUGUUAAGUUCGGUGUGAAAUCUCCUGGCUCAACUGGGAGCUUGCAGGCGAAACUGCCGUGCUGGAGUGUGGGAGAGGUGCGUGGAAUUCCUGGUGUAGCGGUGAAAUGCGUAGAUAUCAGGAGGAACACCUGUGGCGAAAGCGGCGCACUGGACCACAACUGACGCUGAGGCGCGAAAGCUAGGGGAGCAAACAGG
rnacentral:rRNA from 1 species